GGAGAGAUGCUCGAGUGGUUGAAGAGGCACGCCUGGAAAGCGUGUAUGCUCCUAAAGGGCAUCCGGGGUUCGAAUCCCCGUCUCUCCG
rnacentral:tRNA from 1 species